AUUCCAGCUCCAAUAGCGUAUAUUAAAGUUGUUGCGGUAAAAAAGCUCGUAGUUGGAUUUCUACCGAAGAUAGCCGGUCGGGUCUUCGACCUUGUAUCUGGUUUUGUCUUUGGUAUCCUCAUGGGGAACGUUGCUGCGCUUCACUGCGUGGUGCGGUAUCCAUGACUUUUACUUUGAGGAAAUUAGAGUGUUCACGGCAGGCAAACGCCCUGAAUAUAUUAGCAUGGAAUAAUAAUAUAGGAUCUUCGUCCUAUUUUGUUGGUUUCUAGGGCUAAGAUAAUGAUUAAUAGGGAUAAUUGGGGGCAUCUGUAUCAACGCGUCAGAGGUGGAAUUCUUGGAUUGCGUUGCGACAAACUACUGCGAAAGCAUUUGCCAAGGAUGUUUUCAUCG
rnacentral:rRNA from 1 species